rnacentral:tRNA from 1 species
UAGGGGUAAGCUUUGUAGAAGUAUUUAAUUUUUACUUAAAUGAGAUAAUACUAUGUAUUAUACCUUUAG